rnacentral:rRNA from 1 species
GGCUCACCAAGGCGAGGACGGGUAGCCGCCCUGAGAGGGCGACCGGCCACACUGGGAUUGAGACACGGCCCAGACUCCUACGGGAGGCAGCAGUGGGGAAUAUUGCGCAAUGGGCGAAAGCCUGACGCAGCAACGCCGCGUGCGGGAUGAAGGCCUUCGGGUUGUAAACCGCUUUCAGCAGGGAAGAAGCGAAAGUGACGGUACCU